rnacentral:rRNA from 1 species
UAAGGAAUAUUGGACAAUGGACGCAAGUCUGAUCCAGCCAUGCCGCGUGAAGGAUGAAUGCCCUCUGGGUUGUAAACUUCUUUUAUAGGGGAAGAAAGAUACUUUUUUUAAGGUAGUUGACGGUACCCUAUGAAUAAGCACCGGCUAACUCCGUGCCAGCAGCCGCGGUAAUACGGAGGGUGCAAGCGUUAUCCGGAUUUACUGGGUUUAAAGGGUGCGUAGGCGGGCAUGUAAGUCAGUGGUGAAAUACCGGAGCUUAACUUCGGAACUGCCAUUGAUACUAUAUGUCUUGAAUAUUGUGGAGGUAAGCGGAAUAUGUCAUGUAGCGGUGAAAUGCAUAGAUAUGACAUAGAACACCGAUUGCGGAGGCAGCUUGCUACGCAAAUAUUGACGCUGAGGCACGAAAGCGUGGGGAUCAAAC